CUGCUGCUUGUACCUGGAGCCGACUCUGCUUCUGCUUGCUGUGCGUUCUGGCUUUGCCAUCUGCAUCUUAUCCACGUGAGUCUCGUGCUACAGGGAGUUAUGCAGAGGAACUAAGUGGAGGUAACUUAACCUGCAGUGAAGAUGGGCCUGUGUGGACACAGCUACCUUUAGGGCAGAGUGAUAAGCCUAAACUAAGCCAGGGAGAUCCUAUUAGGGCUCUGGGCUGCUGCCUGUGCAGCCCCAGGGUCCCAACCCAAAGGCCUGCGUCAGCCCUAGGCUACGGCCAUGUGUCUGUUGUUUCCUUCAGAAAACCCUGGUCCCUCUUGUUGUUGUCUUCCUCCAGGGUCUCAUGGCUUGGUGCGGGAGCAUGCUGGAGAUGGAUGUGUUUUUUCAAAGGAACCCAGCUGUGGGUGAGGGCUCUGGAAAAACCACAGAAAUAUUUCCUUCUUGACUGCAGCAGUUGAGUUCCAAGUUUCAUUAAAGAACCGGCCAGAUGCUUCCUCCUCACUUGUGUGGGAAGAAGUUCAGAUAAAGAGCACUUGAAACUCUACCUCUGUACACCUGCCUCACACCUUAUUCCCUUCUGACAAGUCUUCCUGCUUCCCCAGGGGUGUGAGCCACCUCCCUAGGCAGCUGGGGCCCUGGGAUUACCCCUGACCUCAUUCCCUCUGGCAUUAAUAAAACAUGAGGCUGAUUGUACUGCGCACCUGCAAUAUGCCAGUCACUGCGCUUUAUAUAUUGUCUCUAAUUCUCAACCUUCAAGCUGGGAGGGUGCCAUAGUGUGGACAGCCCUUAGACUGCUGUGGUAGCAAACUCUGUCCUCCUGCCCUCCUGCCAGAAAUCACCUUCCUUUUGUCUGUUUGCACAAAGGGAGUUGGCUCCUCCUCACCAGUGCCGGUCCACACUGCAGCCUAUUCUUCGGCUUUCACCUGCUUCUGCCUCUGCACCCAGCCUCCCUCUGCUCACUGCGGUUCCUGGCCUGUGACUCAGAGCUGCCAUUGUCCCUCAGUGUGGAACUGAUGAUGCCUCAGGGGCCUACCAGGUAGUACAGUGAUCCCCAGGAGUGCUCCCACCUUGGGACCGCAUGGACAUGUUGCGUUCUCUGGACUGGUCAGAUGUGAGGAAGCAUCUUGAACUGGUGAGAUUAGCCUGGAUGAUUCUAGUGAGCAUGAAAUCACCAUGAGAAUUAUUAUAGAGAAAAGAGGGAGGCAGGAGAGAGACAA